GGGCCUAUAGCUCAGUUGGUUAGAGCGGCAGACUCAUAAUCUGCGGGUCAGAAAAACUCAGCGGAUGCCUCUCUAAAAACUCAGAUCUCGCUUCCUAUGGGGCGCUCGAUAAAUCGGCAUCCAUCUUCUGGGCCCA
rnacentral:tRNA from 1 species